rnacentral:misc_RNA from 1 species
AAGUCGUAACAAGGUUUCCGUAGGUGAACCUGCGGAAGGAUCAUUAUUGAAAUAAACCUGAUGGGUUGUUGCUGGUUCUCUAGGGAGCAUUGUGCACACCUAUCAUCUUUAUAUCUCCCCCUGUGCACCUUUUGUAGACCCCCGGCCUGGUGUUGUCUCAUUUAUCCCCAAUGUAUGUUAAUAGAAUGUAUGUGCCUAUGAAAUCUAUACAA